AGCGAACGCUGGCGGCAGGCCUAACACAUGCAAGUCGAACGAACUCUUCGGAUUUAGUGGCGGACGGGUGAGGAACACGUGGGAACGUGCCUUUUGGUUCGGAAUAACUCAGGGAAACUGGUGCUAAUACCGAAUGUGCCCUUCGGGGGAAAGAUUUAUCGCCAUUAGAGCGGCCCGCGUCUGAGUAGCUAGUUGGUGAGGUAACGGCUCACCAAGGCGACGAUCAGUAGCUGGGCUGAGAGGAUGACCAGCCACACUGGGACUGAGACACGGCCCAGACUCCUACGGGAGGCAGCAGUGGGGAAUCUUGCGCAAUGGGCGAACGCCUGACGCAGCCAUGCCGCGUGAAUGAUGAAGGUCUUAGGAUUGUAAAAUUCUUUCCCCGGGGACGAUAAUGACGGUACCCGGAGAAGAAGCCCCGGCUAACUUCGUG
rnacentral:rRNA from 1 species